rnacentral:rRNA from 1 species
AGAGGGUGCGAGCGUUAAUCGGAAUUACUGGGCGUAAAGAGCACGUAGGUGGAUAGUUAAGUCGGGUGUGAAAUCCCCAGGCUCAACCUGGGAAUUGCAUUCGAUACUGGCUGUCUAGAGUAUGGUAGAGGGUAGUGGAAUUCCCGGUGUAGCGGUGAAAUGCAUAGAUAUCGGGAGGAACACCAGUGGCGAAGGCGGCUACCUGGACCAAUACUGACACUGAGGUGCGAAAGCGUGGGGAGCAAACAGGAUUAGAGACCCUGGUAGUCCACGCCGUAAACGAUGAGAACUAGACGUUGGGGGGGCAUGUCCCUUUAGUGUCGCAGCUAACGCGAUAAGUUCUCCGCCUGGGGAGUACGACCGCAAGGUUA